UACGUAGGGGGCUAGCGUUGUCCGGAUUUAUUGGGCGUAAAGAGCGUGUAGGCGGCCAGGUAGGUCUGCUGUGAAAACUCGAGGCUCAACCUCGAGACGUCGGCGGAAACCAUCUGGCUAGAGUCCGGAAGAGGAGAGUGGGAAUUCCUGGUGUAGCGGUGGAAAUGCGCAGAUAUCAGGAGGAACACCAAUUGCGAAGGCAGCUCGCUGGGACGUUACUGACGCUGAGAACGCGAAGCGUGGGGAGCAAACAGG
rnacentral:rRNA from 1 species